GACGUAGGGCGCGAGCGUUGUCCGGAUUUAUUGGGCGUAAAGAGCUCGUAGGCGGCUUGUCGCGUCGACUGUGAAAACCCGCGGCUCAACUCCGGGUCUGCAGUCGAUACGGGCAGACUUGAGUGUUGCAGGGGAGACUGGGAUUCCUGGUGUAGCGGUGAAAUGCGCAGAUAUCAGGAGGAACACCGGUGGCGAAGGCGGGUCUCUGGGCAACAACUGACGCUGAGGAGCGAAAGCGUGGGGAGCGAACAGG
rnacentral:rRNA from 1 species